CCAGGGGGACGGGUGGGGUCAUUUAGUGCAAACAUUCAAAUUUCUCAGAUGGUAGGGUUGUCGCAUAUCAAAUGAAAGAACAUAAAGUGUACAUUUCAAAUUUCAAAUUGACGUCUCCCAAAAAUAGGUUGGAUCGGGUCAUUGAGUGCAAAAAAUAAAUGUUCUUUUAAGGUAGGGUUGUUGUAUAUCAAAUGAAAGGUCAUCAUGUGUACAUUUGAAAUAUCAAAUUCCCGACCUCCAAAAAUUAGUUGGAUAGGAUUAUUAAGUGCAAAAAUCAAA
rnacentral:lncRNA from 1 species